AAGAAAAGAAAAGAAAAGGAAAGAAAAAUACAGUAACCGUUGGGCAUUUUGGUGAUUUGGUCCCUCCGGAUUUUCUCUUAUUGGAGUUGUCAUAAAAACUGCAAAUGGACUGCCCCGAUGUCAGACGGUCUGGCGUUUGCGAGCUAGAGAGACCUUCAUAGAUAUAUAGGCUGGGAAGGAAGCGAGCGAGCGAGCGAGCGAGGUUGAGGGAGAGAGGGGAGAUCCGUACUAGGGUUUUAAAUUCCCAGAGAUCGAAAGGUGAGUGAGUGUGCAAAAUCCCUGUGAUUAUCGACUAACUUAUCAAAUUUUCUUUGUUUUCUUUGAGUCAUUUGAGAAAAAAUUUAAAAUUCGUAGAGGAAUGAUGAGUUUCAUUUGGAAUUUGAUGAUGUUUGUUUGUGAGAAAGAGAUGUACUUGUUAUGUGCAGGGGGCGACCAGGAGUGUGAGAGAGAUAGAGAGAGUUUUGUGAGUCUGCUAGAGCUAAGAGAGCGGUUCCGAACCAAUUUGAGUGUUAGGGUUUCGCGAUCUUCAUCCCUUUUUCGCUUAUAGCAAGAUUCUUCGAGUUUCAGAUGGAACGAAAGCUUGUGGUUUUGGGUAUUCCGUGGGAGGUGGAUACAGAGGGUUUGAGGGAAUAUAUGAGCAAAUUUGGAGAAUUGGAAGAUUGUAUUGUCAUGAAGGAGCGGUCAUCAGGUCGCUCACGGGGGUUUGGAUACGUAACGUUUGCAUCAGCUGAAGAUGCAAAGAAUGCAUUAUCAAGUGAACACUUUCUUGGAAAUAGAAUGCUGGAAGUUAAAGUGGCCACACCAAAGGAGGAGAUGAGAGCACCUGCAAAGAAAGUGACAAGGAUAUUUGUGGCAAGGAUUCCACCAUCUGUGACUGAAGCAGCCUUUCGAAGGUCAUUGAAUAUGAUGAUGGCCGACAAAUUCUUUCAUUUUGAGAAAUAUGGCGAUAUAAUAGAUCUGUACAUGCCAAAGGAUCAUAGCUCAAAAACACAUCGUGGAAUUGGAUUUAUCACAUUUUCUAGUGCAGAUUCUGUGGAUAGUUUGAUGGUUGAUACUCAUGAACUGGGAGGUUCUACUGUAGUUGUAGAUCGAGCAACACCCAAGGAAGAUGAUUUCAGGCCAGUUGGAAGAAUGGCACAUGUUGGAUACGGUGCAUACAAUGCUUAUAUCUCUGCAGCUACUAGAUAUGCUGCACUUGGUGCUCCUACCUUGUAUGACCAUCCAGGUCCAAUGUAUGGAAGGGAACCUGCUAGAGGAAUGGGCAAAAAGAUUUUUGUUGGCAGGCUUCCUCAGGAAGCAACUGCUGAAGAUUUGCGCCUGUAUUUCGGUAGAUUUGGUCAUAUAUUAGAUGUUUAUGUUCCAAAGGAUCCUAAGAGAUCUGGCCAUAGAGGUUUUGGAUUUGUAACAUUUGCUGAAGAUGGUGUAGCAGAUCGUGUUUCUCGAAGGUCUCAUGAGAUUUGUGGACAUCAGGUAUUAGAUAAAACUUCAUCUAUCUCAGAAAUUGGUAGCAAUAGAUUCAGCAACACCUAUUGAUGAUGCUGGCCCAAGUGGAAAUUUCAUGAUGAAUGCUGCUCCCUCUUUUGGGGGUUAUGGUGGUCCUAUGCGCAACUUUGGUAGGAUGUAUGGAAGCCUGGAUUUUGAUGAUUGGGGUUAUGGAAUGGGUAGUGCAAGACCUUCCAGAGCAGAUUGGAGGUAUAGGCCAUACUAAGUUAAGAGAUGUGGCCAUGGAGAAUUGGGAUUGCAAAGGCUUUGUGAUAUGGUGUUUCUUAUAGUAGAAUAAUCAUUGAACAUUUUUUAUAUAAAUGAUUUUUUUUCUUUUAGUUAUGGAGAUGCUGCACUCGUAACUUCCUUGUACCUCCAUUUUCAAUGUCAUGUUCAGAAUGUUAGUUUUGGUGGCAAAUUGGCUGUGUAGGAAUACAGCCAGGGAUUAUGAUUCACCUGUGGCUUUGGGAUGGACUAAGUUUUCGACUGCCAAUGCGACUUCCUCCAUGUUGUAAGUUAGAUAUUCAUUAUUCUAUUGGUUUUUUUAUCACAAGAAAAUCAUUUCAGAUUGUGUUUGAAA